ensembl:lncRNA
CGGGCGCUCCUAGCGUCCCUCGCGCGCCCCCCCAACCUACCUCCGGCUCAGGAACGUGAAGCUGUCACUUGUGUUGCUGUGCCUCCGUCUCAUUCACAGAUUUUAAUUUGGUCUCAGGCCGCUGGCACAAACAGGCACCCAUUGACCACAACAUGCAGGCAGUGGGGGGACGGGGGGGGUUCCUGGUGUUAAGUGUACGCUGGCCGCUGCUUGCGUCCGUCUGGGGGUGUCUGUGGAUACCGUUGUGAUUGUGGCAUAUCUUUUGAACAAGAUACAUUAGAUUUUUGUUUGUUUUUUAUUGAACGCUCUGAUUUAUUAUUUUAUGACUCGUUCCAGAAAAUUAAAGGUGCUACUUGUAGGAUGUUGGCGUAAAACUGAUUCUGGUUUCUCUUUUUUUGCUAGAAAUCGAACCAUGUGAUCAGUACUGUUGUUGUUUUUUGACUGAAACUACUUUUGCUAUUUCAUUUGUUUUGUCGAUAGCCUAUACAUUUUCUGCAUCCUCUUUGUAGCAUCUUUAACUUCCACUCUCUUUGAUAUUUAUUUCAACAUGCUUGUGACAAACCUAAAGUUUACCACCACAGCAAUAACGGUCAUCGGAUGUUCAUUUUUAAAAAGUUUUUUUAUACCUGAUGCUUGCUUUGGCAAACGUACGCAGUGAGCAAAGAUGAUAAUUCUUCUAGUGGUCCUGCGGGGGACUUCAUAUGUUCUUACUUGCAGGGUUCCUGCAUCUGCUGCCACACACAUUUUCAGCAAUUUAUAUUAGCAGCCACGUUAACUUUUAGAGAACAGACCAGGCUGGUGUGAUAUUUUAGUGUCUCAAAGUUUCAGAAUGCCAAAAUCCCAAAAUGUCAUUUCAGGUUUGUAAUUGAGGUGUGAAGAGAGACUCAACUCCAGGAGCAGAUACGUUCCCAGAGAUCGCAUAUUUGAAUGAUUGGUGCGUUCAUCUCCACCCAAUAAUACUUUUCUCGAUGCCAGUAUAGAAAUGGAGAUGUGCAUACUAUGAUGACGCACCAGUGGCCUCAAUAUGCCUUACCUGUGGCUUCUGACUGCUUUCAUUUUUCGCCAGGUCCUGGAUGGUUACUAGGGACAUUGUUGCAGUGAAUGUUUAUGCAGGUAACUGAACCUUUCAUCUCUUAAAACGGCACAUUUAUAGAAGCCGUUCCUUUUGUGCAUUUCAUGGUUUCUUGUUUUUACGUCCAAGUCUUAUUAUUGAGAAGUGUGUGUGUGUGUGUGUGUACGUACUACUGUAAGAUCAUUAACUCAUCAAACACUGCCACAUAAACAUCAAUUUAUGUGAAAUUUAAACUGUAUGAGCAUAUUAAUGUCUUUUUAUGGCAGAACGCUGAUUCUUUCAGUCUGUUGGCUUGUCAUUAUUGUUCUUACUGGUUUAUUUGAGAGGUGUCUCUCAGAUAAACCGUUAUUCUCUCCGGCUAUACCGUCUUCAAAAGUGCAUCUCUGCUAAGGUGUUUAAGAACAAGUCGUAGAUGCUAUAAAUUCGUCCUAAGCCAAGUACUUUUUUGUCGGAAUACUUAAAUAGGAGCUUGAUUGAACUUCAUUCAAAUUCUCUUUAAUUAUCAGUUUGAAAAAAAAGAUGCUAGAUUUGAAUGAAUUUCUUUCUCUAUUCUGCAAUAUUUAAACCAAAUAUUAUGAACAAUUACGAUGUAUUUUUUGUCAUAUUACCCAAUCAAAGAUAUAGUAAGAUAACUGUGUUACCCUUUGUUAACAUUUCAAAAAGCAGUGUUAUUUUUUAUUAAUUUAUUGCAAUAUGAAGUGUUCAAAGAUUGCACAUCUAAGUCUGUACUAUCGAAUCAAAUAUUUAUUGAAUUAUUAAAAUGAUCUUUACACAAUAUAAUUGUGUUUUGAGAAUCAGCUGUAAAGAGUGAAUCUUCCAUCUGGGAACCAUCAAAUGGUUUAAUAGCCUUUUGUGAAAGCACGACUAGAAAAUGGAUUCAGAAAUGAUGAACACAUUUUCUGGGAUUCCUCCAAUCUUUGGAGUUUAUCGGCAGUUAUGGAUUCAGCUUGAAAAUAGACUCUUUUGGGUUCUUUUAUUUUCUCCAAACAAAGGAGCAUAAAACCUACAGCGAACGUCGAUGAGACAGAACAAGACAUUUGUCUCCAUAGCCUAAAAGAAAGUUCACACUGGCACUUCAGUGUGUUUAUGAAUCCACAAACAAACUGUCCAUGUCGGGUCGGACAGAACCAGAGUGAACUUCAGUGCCACCAGGUGGGAAGAUUCAAAUAUAGCUGCUAAACUAGGGUCCCGUUCUUCAACAAUCUUAGGAGUUUUACUUUUAAUUCGAUAGUAAUUCCAUAUAACCUAGUUGAAUGGGUUGACUAAUAGUGAUAUAAUACAUAUCUCUGCAAUAAAGAACCACCAAAUGUUUUCAAAUCUAAGUGCUGAAAAAAUACCAAUAAAAAAAAAUCACCUGCACCAUUUCUGCCGUGUACAUCAUGUUAGGUUCACGGUUGUGUCACUGUGCGGUUUAAGGGCAGAUGGUUACAGCUGCUGCCGUGUUGAUGGACCACAAUGCAUUUCGACUGCAACGCUCUGAUUUAUUGUGAUGUGUAAAGUCAGCUGGUACAGAGUCGGAAAAGGGAAAAUGUUCUUCAAAAUAAAACAAUUUUCUCAACGAUACAAGUUGGACUUAAUUAUAUAUAAUGUUGUAAGUACAUAUGAGGCGU